rnacentral:ncRNA from 2 species
CCGCCGUAUUGAGGUUGAGGUUUGUUUUUUCAAACCACAUUAAAAGGGAAUCAGGUGAAAGAUUUCAAGUUUUAGAUUUCAGAUUUUAGGUUUAAAUCCUAAAUCAUGAAUCCUAACUUAAAUCAAGAAUCCUGAGCUGUACCCGCAACUGUAAGCUAUCAAGCUUGUUGUUAUCUACAAAACCAUUGUUCGCCGCGGCGAAUGAGAAGGUAAACAACAAGACGCAAGCCAGGAGACCUGCCUAUUACAUCGAGUAUCA